rnacentral:rRNA from 1 species
GAUGAACGCUGGCGGCGUGCCUAAUACAUGCAAGUCGAGCGAACGGACGAGAAGCUUGCUUCUCUGAUGUUAGCGGCGGACGGGUGAGUAACACGUGUAUACCCUACUUAUAAUACUGGGAUCACUUCGGGAAACCGUAGCUUAUACCGGAUAAUAUUUUGAACCGCAUGGUUCAAAAGUGAAAGACGGCCUUGCUGUCAGUUAUAGAUGCAUCUGCGCUGCAUUAGCUAGUUGGUAAGUUAACGGCUUUCCAAGGCAACGAUGCAUAGCCGACCUGAUAGAGUGAUCGCCCACACGAGAGCGGGACCACGGUCCAUACUCCUACGGGAGGCAGCAGUCGGGAAUCUGCCGCAGUAGGCGAGAGCCUGGCGGAGCGACGCGGCGUGAGAGAUGGAAGUCUUCGGAUCGUAAAGCCCUGUUAUUAGGGAAAAACAGAUUUGGAAGUUACUGAGCACAGCGUGACGGUACCGGAUCAGAAAGCCACGGCUAACUACGUG